AUGAGCAAACCCUUGGCUCCCAAACACAGAGGGUUGUCCACCUAUGAGAAGGAAUGCUUAGGUAUACUCAUGGUCGUGGAGCAAUGGCGUCCCUACUUACAACAUGAUGAAUUUCAGAUAUGGACAGAUCAGCAUAGUCUGGUGCAUUUGGAUGAUCAGAGGUUGUCAACAGUGUGGCAGCAGAAAGCAUUUACCAAGCUCUUGGGGUUGCGCUACAAAAUUUGCUACAGAUAG
rnacentral:rRNA from 1 species